AACCUUCAGGUGUUCAGCUCAUUUGUGUGGGGAGCUGUGGCUUACACACGCUACACAACGCAUUCAAGUGUGGGUUCAGUGCAUGGCAGCUGGACAAGUUGCUGAGAGCAAUGCACACAUUGUUUCACAAUGUGCCUGCCAGGAGAGAGGAUUACAUCACCAUAACCAAGUCCAGUGUGUUCCCCCUGUCUUUCUGUGCCCAUCGUUGGGUAGAAAACCUUCCGGUUGUGGAGAGAGCCUUGGCUGUCUGGCCAUCACUUCUCCUGUACAUGGAAGCUGUGAAAACAAAGAGACUCUCCAACCCUGGGACAGCAUCCUAUGACACAGUUGCAGCAGCCAUAAAGGAUCCACUCAUCUUGGCCAAAUUGCAGUUCUACGCAGCACUUGCCAGGACCUUCACUCCCUUCUUGAAAAAAUAUCAGACAGAUAAUCCUGUGCUCCCAUUCCUCCCCAAGGAUCUCACCGAGUUGAUGAUGAGUCUACUCAGACGUUUCAUAAAGAGAGAAGUCCUCCACGAUAUCACUGCCCUGCAGCUGACCAAACUGGAUGUUACAGACAAG
rnacentral:lncRNA from 1 species